ACUAUUCACCAAGGCGGUCUCAGCUAGUUUUUUACCGGUUUACUUGUGUGGCUAUUUUUCACAGAAAGAUGAUCAACUGGGGGAAUGUUUGAGAUGCUAAAAUUCUAAUCAAAUUGAAAGAUUUGCCUCAUAAACAUGGCAUUUGUGACUGUUCAUCCUUGAGGACAAGGAUGUUUGAAGGGGAGGGUAUUGUAACAGGAAAUAAUAUUAGAUUAAUAGUUUAUUUUAAAUAAUAGUUUAUUUUAUGUUAUUUUACAUUUUUAUCCUUUAGGGUUGUAUUUAAAGACAUUGUGUCUCACUUGGAAAAGGAAUCAAUCAAUCAAUAUUCAACAAAUUAUCUUCUUCUCUAAACACAACUCUCAAUUUAUCUUUGCAUAAUCUCACUUGUACCGAAUUCUAUUCAAUUCAUUAGAAUUCCUACUUUGAGACUUGAUUCUAUCGGUUUCGUCCCUAGAAUCUAAUUUACCCGUUACAGAGGAGGAGAGUGGGUUUGACGGAGGAGGAUUCGCCGGUGGGAGUGGGUUUGACGGAGGGGGAUUUGCGAUGAAAGUGUGAUUUUGUGAUUUGGUUUCUCGCUUUUGAUUAGCGGUAAUUGGAAAAUUCUAAUAUAGAGGCAAUUCAAUUUUUUUGACUGGAAUGGGGGUGUGUAUAUAGAUCGGGUUGAAUUGGUUUUUGGCCAAAACAAAAAUUUGAACCACAUAAGUUUGGUUGAUAGUUUAUAUUGUACUAUUUUCUCUAAAUAUUUAGUUGAUUAUUAAUAUUUUUGUGUCAAUAAUGUUU
rnacentral:lncRNA from 1 species